CCUACGGGAGGCAGCAGUGGGGAAUUUUGGACAAUGGGCGCAAGCCUGAUCCAGCAAUGCCGCGUGAGUGAAGAAGGCCUUCGGGUUGUAAAGCUCUUUUGUCAGGGAAGAAACGGUCUACUCUAAUACAGUGGGCUAAUGACGGUACCUGAAGAAUAAGCACCGGCUAACUACGUGCCAGCAGCCGCGGUAAUACGUAGGGUGCAAGCGUUAAUCGGAAUUACUGGGCGUAAAGCGUGCGCAGGCGGUUAUAUAAGUCAGAUGUGAAAUCCCCGGGCUCAACCUGGGAACUGCAUUUGAGACUGUAUGGCUAGAGUGUGUCAGAGGGGGGUAGAAUUCCACGUGUAGCAGUGAAAUGCGUAGAUAUGUGGAGGAAUACCGAUGGCGAAGGCAGCCCCCUGGGAUAACACUGACGCUCAUGCACGAAAGCGUGGGGAGCAAACAGGAUUAGAUACCCUGGUAGUCCACGCCCUAAACGAUGUCUACUAGUUGUCGGUACUUAAUUGUNUUGUACGUCAGCGACGCGNGAGAGACGCCGCGGGUAAGGUACGGUCGCGAGAAGUUAAACGUUAACGUAAAGUUAGAGUUAGUACGGCGNGAGACGNGCGACGGACGACGACGAGGGAGGAGG
rnacentral:rRNA from 1 species